rfam:Trichosporon asahii var. asahii CBS 8904 unplaced genomic scaffold scaffold00167, whole genome shotgun sequence.
GGUCGCGUGGCCCAAUGGCAAGGCGUCUGACUACGACUCUUUCAUCCUUCAAGGAUGCAAGCAAGGCGUGUAUCAGGAGAUUGCGGGUUCGAUCCCCGUCGUGACCU